UACGGGGGGGGCAAGCGUUGUUCGGAAUUACUGGGCGUAAAGGGCUCGUAGGCGGCCAACUAAGUCGGAUGUGAAAUCCCCAGGCUUAACCUGGGAAUUGCAUCCGAUACUGGAUGGCUUGAAUCCGGGAGAGGGAUGCGGAAUUCCAGGUGUAGCGGUGAAAUGCGUAGAUAUCUGGAGGAACACCGGUGGCGAAGGCGGCAUCCUGGACCGGCAUUGACGCUGAGGAGCGAAAGCCGGGGGAGCAAAACGGGG
rnacentral:rRNA from 1 species